UCCUCCCCGGGCGGCUCCUCCGCGCCGAUCACCUGACGCCGAGCUGCCACCGCCGGGUCCACCUUACCGUAAAUACCCCAGCGCCAGCCCACCGCGCAGCGCCGGGCGCCGGCGGGGAGGGGCGGGGGCACCCCGCCCGCGCACACUCACGCCGACACGCUUACACACUCACGCUGGCACACGCAACGCGGGCUGGGAAACGCUCGCCCCCUGCGCAGGCGGGCAGAGAGUUUAGCUCUGCCACAAGACUCCUGUAGCUGUUACUUCCACUCAAUUGGAGGUGACUGUCCAAUUGUAUGUAGCAACGAGGUAUGUCCACCAGAUGGCUCUACUUCAAGGAGUAAUACAAUUCUG
rnacentral:lncRNA from 1 species